UGUUCAACUGUAUUUACUCAUCUUUUAUUUUUGUUCCUUUUUUUGAAUUUGAGUUUUUAUUUUUAUUGACUAUGGAUCAGAUGAUGCCUUACCCUGCUAUAACUGGAACAAGAUGAGAGCUGACCCCAAAUAGUUGGUUCUCACCGAUGUUAAUGUAGAUGGCUGGUCAUAUCGCAUGACACGGCUUCUAGAUGAGCGUGAUCUGGGGGUUUUAACAUAUGUUAUGAGCCUUCUAGUUGCUUUAGUUUCAAAAAACCAUAAAGAAAUUGGAUGUUCCACAGGAAUCACCUACUACGGGAUCCCAUCACCAUGGCUUCAGCGUUGUCCAGAGACUUGAACUUUCAAAGUCUAAAGCUUCAGUUUUGACAUCGGUUUGCUGCAGUGCCUAAACCCACUAGCCAUUUCAAUUGUUAAUCUAGAAUUCCAUUUCUGAUAAGGGCAUCACAACCAUUGGCAAUUCAUUCUUUUUCUUGGGUAGUCGUUUGGGAGACGGUCUUCUUGUGCAAUAUAGUUGUGGAACUAUAACAAUGCCUCCUGGUCAUGUAAAGGAUGAGGUGCAUACUGGAUAUGGUGUCUGUUA